AGUCGAGGGGUAUGGUUCUUCGGAACCAGAGACCGGCGCACGGGUGCGUAACGCGUAUGCAAUCUACCUUUUACAGAGGGAUAGCCCAGAGAAGUUUGGAUUAAUACCUCAUAGCAUAGCAGCUUCGCAUGAAGCCACUAUUAAAGUCACAACGGUAAAAGAUGAGCAUGCGUCCCAUUAGCUAGUUGGUAAGGUAACGGCUUACCAAGGCUACGAUGGGUAGGGGUCCUGAGAGGGAGAUCCCCCACACUGGUACUGAGACACGGACCAGACUCCUACGGGAGGCAGCAGUGAGGAAUAUUGGACAAUGGGCGCAAGCCUGAUCCAGCCAUGCCGCGUGCAGGAUGACGGUCCUAUGGAUUGUAAACUGCUUUUGUACAGGAAGAAACAGUUCUACGUGUAGAACCUUGACGGUACUGUAAGAAUAAGGAUCGGCUAACUCCGUGCCAGCAGCCGCGGUAAUACGGAGGAUCCAAGCGUUAUCCGGAAUCAUUGGGUUUAAAGGGUCCGUAGGCGGUUUAGUAAGUCAGUGGUGAAAGCCCAUCGCUCAACGGUGGAACGGCCAUUGAUACUGCUAGACUUGAAUUAUUAGGAAGUAACUAGAAUAUGUAGUGUAGCGGUGAAAUGCUUAGAGAUUACAUGGAAUA
rnacentral:rRNA from 1 species